rnacentral:rRNA from 1 species
UACAGGGGGGUGCAAACGUUGCUCGGAAUCAUUGGGCGUAAAGCGCACGUAGGCGGUCUGUUAUGUCGGAUGUGAAAGCCCUUGGCUUAACUGAGGAAGUGCAUCCGAAACUGGCAGGCUAGAGUACUAAAGAGGGUCGCGGAAUUCCCGGUGUAGAGGUGAAAUUCGUAGAUAUCUGGAGGAACACCGGUGGCGAAGGCGGCAUCCUGGACCGGUAUUGACGCUGAGGCGCGAAAGCUAGGGGAGCAAACGGGG